rnacentral:rRNA from 1 species
GCCUUAGGGUUGUCAAGCUCUUUUACCCGGGAUUAUAAUGACAGUACCCGGAGAAUAAGCUCCAGCUAACUCCGUGCCUGCCUCCGCAGUAAUACCGAGGGAGCUACCUUUGUUCGGAAUUACUGGGCGUAAAGCGCGCGUAGGCGGUUUUUUAAGUCAGACGUGAAAACCCGGGGCUCAACCCCGGAAUUGCCUUUGAAACUGGAAAACUUGAAUCUUGGAUAGGUCAGUGGAAUUCCCAGUGUAGAGGUGAAAUUCGUAGAUUUUCAGAACAACACCAGUGGCGAAAGCCACUGACUGGACGAGUAUUGACGCUGACGUGCGAAAGCCUGGGGAGCAAACAGGAUUAUAUACCCUGGUAGUCCACGCCGUAAACGAUGAUAACUAGCUGUCCAGGUUCAUGGAACUUGGGUGGCGCAACUUACGCAUUAAGUUAUCCGCCUGGCGAGUACGGUCGCAAGAUUAAAACUCAAAGGAAUUGACGGGGGCCUGCACCAACGGUGGAGCCUGUGGUUUAAUUCGAAGCAACGCGCAGAACCUUACCCGCGUUUGACCUCGUUAUCGCUGAUUAGAGAGAUCUUUUCUUUCAGUUCGGCUGGAUCAGCGACAGGUGCUGCAUGGCUGUCGUCAGCUCUUGUCAUGAGAUGUUGGGUUUAGUCCCGCAACGAGCGCAACCCUCAUCCGUAGUCACCAUCAAUCAGUUGGGCAUUAUAAGGAAACUCCCGGGGAUAAUCCGGAGGAAGGGGGGGAGGACGUCAAGUCUUCAUGGCCCUUACUCGCUGGGUUACACCCGUGUUCCAAGGGCAAUUCCAGUGGGCAGGGACCUCGGGAGAGGUAGUUAUUCUCCAAAAGUUGUCUCAGUUCGGAUUGUUGUCUGCAACUCGAGAGCAUGAAGGCGGAAUCGCUAGUAAUCGCGGAUCAGCA